UCCCUGGUGGCUCAGAGGGUAAAGCGUCUGCCUGCAAUGCAGGAGACCCGGGUUCGAUCCCUGAGUGAGGAA
rnacentral:tRNA from 1 species